GGCGGAUGUAGCCAAGUGGAUCAAGGCAGUGGAUUG
rnacentral:tRNA from 28 species